AACGCGAAGAACCUUACCUACCCUUGACAUGUACAGAAUCCCGAAGAGAUUUGGGAGUGUUCGAAAGAAAACUGUAACACAGGUGCUGCAUGGCUGUCGUCAGCUCGUGUCGUGAGAUGUUGGGUUAAGUCCCGCAACGAGCGCAACCCUUGUCAUUAGUUGCUACGAAAGGGCACUCUAAUGAGACUGCCGGUGACAAACCGGAGGAAGGUGGGGAUGACGUCAAGUCCUCAUGGCCCUUAUGGGUAGGGCUUCACACGUCAUACAAUGGUACAUACAGAGGGCCGCCAACCCGCGAGGGGGAGCUAAUCCCAGAAAGUGUAUCGUAGUCCGGAUUGUAGUCUGCAACUCGACUACAUGAAGUUGGAAUCGCUAGUAAUCGCGGAUCAGCAUGUCGCGGUGAAUACGUUCCCGGGCCUUGUA
rnacentral:rRNA from 1 species